UUCUAGCCCUGAUAGUAGUGGAAAUCCUUUUUUCUGGCUCCUUUAGCCAGGAAAAAGAUUGCAACGGAUAGCAGGAAAUAGC
rnacentral:sRNA from 26 species